AGGCCUAAUACAUGCAAGUCGAACGCACCUUCGGGUGAGUGGCGGACGGGUGAGUAACACGUGGGAACGUGCCCUUUGGUUCGGAAUAAUCCGGGGAAACCUGGCCUAAUACCGAAUGUGCCCUAGCGGGGGAAAGAUUUAUCGCCAUUGGAGCGGCCCGCGUCUGAUUAGCUAGUUGGUGGGGUAAUGGCCCACCAAGGCGACGAUCAGUAGCUGGUCUGAGAGGAUGAUCAGCCACACUGGGACUGAGACACGGCCCAG
rnacentral:rRNA from 1 species